rnacentral:rRNA from 1 species
UACGUAGGGGGCAAGCGUUGUCCGGAUUUAUUGGGCGUAAAGAGCGUGUAGGCGGCCAUACAGGUCAGCUGUGAAAACUCGAGGCUCAACCUCGAGACGUCGGUUGAAACCGUAUGGCUAGAGUCCGGAAGAGGAGAGUGGAAUUCCCGGUGUAGCGGUGAAAUGCGCAGAUAUCGGGAAGAACACCCGUGGCGAAGGCGAUCACCUGGGGUUGUUCUGACGCUGAGGAGCGAAAGCUAGGGGAGCAAACGGG